rnacentral:tRNA from 1 species
AGGAAUAUAGUGAAAUGGAAAACACAUUUGAUUUAGAAUCAUAUUAUACAGGUUCGAGCCCUGUUAUUCUUA